GACGAACGCUGGCGGCGUGCCUAAUACAUGCAAGUAGAACGCUGAAGAGAGGAGCUUGCUCUUCUUGGCUGAGUUGCGAACGGGUGAGUAACGCGUAGGUAACCUGCCUUGUAGCGGGGGAUAACUAUUGGAAACGAUAGCUAAUACCGCAUAACAAUGGCUGACACAUGUCAUUUAUUUGAAAGGGGCAAUUGCUCCACUACAAGAUGGACCUGCGUUGUAUUAGCUAGUAGGUGAGGUAAUGGCUCACCUAGGCGACGAUACAUAGCCGACCUGAGAGGGUGAUCGGCCAAACUGGGACUGAGACACGGCCCAGACUCCUACGGGAGGCAGCAGUAGGGAAUCUUCGGCAAUGGGGGCAAACCUGACCGAGCAACGCCGCGGGAGUGAAGAAGGUUUUCGGAUCGUAAAGCUCUGUUGUAAGUCAAGAACGGGUGUGAGAGUGGAAAGUUCACACUGUGACGGUAGCUUACCAGAAAGGGACGGCUAACUACGUG
rnacentral:rRNA from 1 species